rnacentral:rRNA from 1 species
AUUGAACGCUGGCGGCAGGCCUAACACAUGCAAGUCGAGCGGAUGAAGGGAGCUUGCUCCUGGAUUCAGCGGCGGACGGGUGAGUAAUGCCUAGGAAUCUACCUGGUAGUGGGGGAUAACGUCCGGAAACGGGCGCUAAUACCGCAUACGUCCUGAGGGAGAAAGUGGGGGAUCUUCGGACCUCACGCUAUCAGAUGAGCCUAGGUCGGAUUAGCUAGUUGGUGGGGUAAAGGCCUACCAAGGCGACGAUCCGUAACUGGUCUGAGAGGAUGAUCAGUCACACUGGAACUGAGACACGGUCCAGACUCCUACGGGAGGCAGCAGUGGGGAAUAUUGGACAAUGGGCGAAAGCCUGAUCCAGCCAUGCCGCGUGUGUGAAGAAGGUCUUCGGAUUGUAAAGCACUUUAAGUUGGGAGGAAGGGCAGUAAGUUAAUACCUUGCUGUUUUGACGUUACCAACAGAAUAAGCACCGGCUAACUUCGUGCCAGCAGCCGCGGUAAUACGAAGGGUGCAAGCGUUAAUCGGAAUUACUGGGCGUAAAGCGCGCGUAGGUGGUUCAGCAAGUUGGAUGUGAAAUCCCCGGGCUCAACCUGGGAACUGCAUCCAAAACUACUGAGCUAGAGUACGGUAGAGGGUGGUGGAAUUUCCUGUGUAGCGGUGAAAUGCGUAGAUAUAGGAAGGAACACCAGUGGCGAAGGCGACCACCUGGACUGAUACUGACACUGAGGUGCGAAAGCGUGGGGAGCAAACAGG